rnacentral:rRNA from 1 species
AUUGAACGCUGGCGGCACGCCUUACACAUGCAAGUCGAACGGCAGCACGGGUGCUUGCACCUGGUGGCGAGUGGCGAACGGGUGAGUAAUACAUCGGAACGUACCUUAUCGUGGGUGAUAACGCAGCGAACGCUGUGCUAAUACCGCAUACGCCCGGAGGGGGAAAGCGGGGGAUCGAAAGUCCGCGCGCGAUUCGAGCGGCCGAUGCCUGAUGAGCUUGUUGGUGGGGUAAAAGCCCACCAGGGCGACGAUCAGUAGAUGGUCUGAGAGGCCGAUCAGCCAAACUGGGACUGAGACACGGCCCAGACUCCUACGGGAGGCAGCAGUGGGGAAUGUUGGACAAUGGGGGCAACCCUGAUCCAGCAAUGCCGCGUGAGUGAAGAAGGCCUUCGGGUUGUAAAGCUCUUUUGUCAGGGAAGAAACACCGGCUCUAACACAGUCCGGGAAUGACGGUACCUGAAGAAUAAGCACCGGCUAACUACGUGCCAGCCGCCGCCGUAA